GACGAACGCUGGCGGCGUGCCUAAUACAUGCAAGUCGACCUUAGGGGCGAACGGGUUAGUAACACGUGGGUCACCUGCCCAUCCGAAGGGGAUAACACUUGGAAACAGGUGCCAAUACCGUAUACCGCUGGAUGGACCCGCGGUGCAUUAGCUAGUUGGGGAGGUACCGGCUCACCAAGGCCACGAUGCAUAGCCGACCUGAGAGUGUGAUCGGCCACAUUGGGACUGAGACACGGCCCAAACUCCUACGGGAGGAAGCAGUAGUGAAUCUUCGGAAAUGUACGAAAGUCUGACCGAGCAACGCCGCGUGAGUGAAGAAGGUUUUCGGAUCGUAAAACUCUGUUGUUAGAGAAGCGGUAUCUAACCAGAAAGCCACGGCUAACUACGUGCCAGCAGCCGCGGUAAUAC
rnacentral:rRNA from 1 species